AGAGUUUGAUCCUGGCUCAGGAUGAACGCUAGCUACAGGCUUAACACAUGCAAGUCGAGGGGCAGCAGUUUUAGUUUGCUUGCAAACUAAAGAUGGCGACCGGCGCACGGGUGAGUAACACGUAUCCAACCUGCCGAUAACUCGGGGAUAGCCUUUCGAAAGAAAGAUUAAUAUCCGAUAGUAUAUUUUCUCCGCAUGGCGAGUAAUAUUAAAGAAUUUCGGUUAUCGAUGGGGAUGCGUUCCAUUAGUUUGUUGGCGGGGUAACGGCCCACCAAGACUACGAUGGAUAGGGGUUCUGAGAGGAAGGUCCCCCACAUUGGAACUGAGACACGGUCCAAACUCCUACGGGAGGCAGCA
rnacentral:rRNA from 1 species